GAUGAACGCUGGCGGCGUGCUUAAUACAUGCAAGUCGAACGGAGUGUUAGCAAUAGCACUUAGUGGCGAACGGGUGAGUAACGCGUUGGUGACCUGCCCCAAAGCGAGGGAUAACAGAUCGAAAGGUCUGCUAAUACCGCAUGAGGUCUUGAAGGUUAGAGGCUUGAAGACGAAAGCAGCGAUGCGUUUUGGGAGGGGCCUGCGUCCCAUCAGCUAGUUGGUAAGGUAAAGGCUUACCAAGGCGACGACGGGUAGGGGACCUGAGAGGGUGACCCCCCACACUGGCACUGAAACACGGGCCAGACACCUACGGGUGGCUG
rnacentral:rRNA from 1 species